GACGAACGCUGGCGGCAGGCUUAACACAUGCAAGUCGAACGCCCCGCAAGGGGAGUGGCAGACGGGUGAGUAACGCGUGGGAAUCUACCCAUCUCUGCGGAAUAGCUCUGGGAAACUGGAAUUAAUACCGCAUACGCCCUACGGGGGAAAGAUUUAUCGGGGAUGGAUGAGCCCGCGUUGGAUUAGCUAGUUGGUGGGGUAAAGGCCUACCAAGGCGACGAUCCAUAGCUGGUCUGAGAGGAUGAUCAGCCACAUUGGGACUGAGACACGGCCCAAACUCCUACGGGGGGAAGCAGUGGGGAAUAUUGGACAAUGGGCGCAAGCCUGAUCCAGCCAUGCCGCGUGGGGGAUGAAGGCCUUAGGGUUGUAAAGCUCUUUCACCGAUGAAGAUAAUGACGGUAGUCGGAGAAGAAGCCCCGGCUAACUUCUUGCCAGCCGCCGCGGUAA
rnacentral:rRNA from 1 species